rnacentral:tRNA from 1 species
GCAUUAAUGGGGUAGUGGUAACCUGGGUCGUUGCCAUAUCGUGACCUAUUAUACAGUGUCGACCCGCCGGGGGUUCGAUUCCCUCUUAAUGCA